rnacentral:lncRNA from 1 species
UUUUUUUGCUUUUUUUGUUCUGUUUUCUUUUUUAUGUAAUUUCUUUUCUUUUAUUUAUUUGCUUUUCUGUUUUAUUUCAAUUUAAACUAUUUAGGCAUUUUAUAAAAAUGUGUUUACCACACCAUAUUUACUUAUGCAAAAUAUGGCAUCUCCCGAACAUUUUUAUUUUAAUAUUUGAAAACUUUUGUCGUUUGACUUAUUUAGGAUUUAAAUUUGAAACGGUUUUGAAUUAACCCGAGAUUAAUUACAGUGACAGAGGUGACGUGCCAUCAUUAACGUGAGAUUACUGUAGCAUGAUUAUCCGGGCGUUACAACAACCAUAUGGCUCCUGCCAGUUGCCGAUAACUCUGUUACGAAUCAUGAUCAUCUCAUACAAUAAAAUAUAGCAUCUUGUCUUGACCAUAUCACAUCACAACAAGCCCUGCAAAAACAAGUUAGACGUCCUCUACUUUGUUGUUGCAAGUUUUACGUGGCUGCUACGGGCUUAGCAAGAACCGUUCUUACCUACGCAUCAAAAACCACAACGAUUUUUCGUCAAGUGUGUUGUUUUAACCUUCGACAAGGACCGGGUGUAGCCACACUCGAUUCAACUAAAGUUGGAGCAACUGACACCCGCCAGGCACCUGUGUGACGUCGGUAGAACCAGUCUCGCGUAAGCGUACGCGUAAUGUCGGUCCAGGCCGCUUCAUCCAACAAUACCGCCGAAUUAAAGUAUGACAUGCUGGUAAGCAGUAUGACUAUUAUUGUCCACAAAUGUUUGUGCUCUACUCGUGCAUAUAACAUCUACGCAUAGACCUGGCUCGGAUGCCACUGUUGGGGAACGCAGUAAUUUCAAAAAAAAUCCUACGCACACGCAAGAUCCAUCUAGGUGAUGCAUAGCAACGAGAGGGGAGAGUGUUGUCCACGUACCCUCGUAGACCGAAAGCGGAAGCGUUAUGACAACGCGGUUGAUGUAGUCGUACGUCUUCAUGAUCUGACUGAUCCUAGCACCGAAGGUACGGCACCUCCGCGAUCUGCACACGUUCAGCUCGGUGACGUCCCAUGAACUCUAGAUCCAGCUGAGGUCGAGGGACAAUUUUGUCAGCACGACGGUGUGAUGACGGUGAUGAUGAAGUUACCGAUGCAGGGCUUCGCCUAAGCACUAGAACGAUAUGACCGAGGUGAGAAUCUAUGGAGGGAGGCACCACACACGGCUAAGAAAACUGUCAACUUGUGUGUUCUAGGGUGCCCCCUGCUCCCGUAUAUAAAGGAGAAAGGGGGAGGCCGGCCGGCCCUCAUGGGGCACGCCCCAAGUAGGAUUCCUACUAGGAAUCCUAUUCCUAGUAGGUUUCCAACAAGGGAAGAGAGGGGGAAGGAAGGAGCGGAAGAGAGGGAGAAGGAAAGGGGGGCGCCGCCCCCCUUCCCUAGUCCAAUUCGGACCCAAGGGGGAGGGGGCGCGCAGCCUGCCCUAGCCGCCCCUCUCUCUCUUCACUAAGGCCCAUAUGGCCCAUUAGUUCCCUCGGGGGGUUCCGGUAACCCUCCGGCACUCCGGUUUUAUCCGAAACUUCUCCGGAUCAUUUUCGGUGUCCGAAUAUAGUCGUACAAUAUAUCAAUCUUUAUGUCUCGACCAGUUCGAGACUCCUCGUCAUGUCCUUGAUCACAACCGGGAAUCCGAACUACCUUCGGUACAUCAAAACACAUAAACUCAUAAUACCGAUCGUCACUGAACAUUAAGUGUGCGGACCCUACGGGUUCGAGAACUAUGUAGACAUGACCAAGACUCACUACCGGUCAAUAACCAAUAGCGGAACCUGGAUGCUCAUAUUGGUUCCUACAUAUUCUACGAAGAUCUUUAUCGGUCAAACCGCAUAACACCAUACGUUGUUCCCUUUGUCAUCGGUAUGUUACUUGCCCGAGAUUCGAUCGUCGGUAUCUCAAUACCUAGUUCAAUCUCGUUACCGGAAAGUCUCUUUACUCGUUCCAUAAUGCAUCAUCCCGCAACUAACUCAUUAGUCACAUUGCUUGCAAGGCUUAUAGUGAUGUGCAUUACCGAGAGGGCCCAGAGAUACCUCUCCGUAACACGGAGUGACAAAUCCUAAUCUCGAUCUAUGCCAACCCAACAAACACCAUCGGAGACACCUGUAGAGCAUCUUUAUAAUCACCUAGUUACGUUGUGACGUUUGAUAGCACACUAAGUGUUCCUCCGGUAUUCGGGAGUUGCAUAAUCUCAUAGUCAUAGGAACAUGUAUAAGUCAUAAAGAAAGCAAUAGCAAUAAACUAAACGAUCAUAGUGCUAAGCUAACGGAUGGGUCAAGGCAAUCACAUCAUUCUCUAAUGAUGUGACCCCGUUCAUCAAAUGACAACACAUGUCUAUGGCUAGGAAACUUAACCAUCUUUGAUUAACGAGCUAGUCAAUGUAGAGGCAUACUAGUGACACUCUGUUUGUCUAUGUAUUCACACAUGUACUAAAUUUCCGGUUAAUACAAUUCUAGCAUGAAUAAUAAACAUUUAUCAUGAUAUAAGGAAAUAUAAAUAACUUUAUUAUUGCCUCUAGGGCAUAUUUCCUUCAGGUGGUGCUCACUCUCCGGUCGUGGAUGAUGGUGAUGGAGGUGCUAGGGGUGGCGGUGGUGGCGACAUUCUUCGCAGCGGUGAGGAUGUUGCUUUAUUUCUCGAUGUUAUUGAGCAUCUUUUGUUUUGUUUGAUCGCGCAUUUGUAAGGCUAAACUUGAUACUUCGUAUGUUGCGCAUGAUUUUGGAUGUGAUGAACUAGUGAUGUAUAUAUAUAUGAUGAUGAACUUGUCAAUAUUUGACCUGUGAUUUUAUUUGUGGUACGGUGAGCCCUCCGACGCGGAACAGAUUCCGCAAAAAAAAUGCGGGAUGGGUUUACGGGAUCUGUUCCGCCGGAGGGUUCGUUGUACCUAAAAAAGUACUGUGGGCGCCUUUAAAAGAGUUUUGCGGGCCGGCCGGUUGAGGGAUCUGCUAGAGAGAUGCUCUAAAGUUGCUGAUAGAAUAGUGAUAACAAAGGGUGAUGGGAGCGGACGAGCCCUCACAAAGUAGCAAGAUAGUGUAUUAAGAUGCAGGGAGGACCAAACCUACUUUUACUCAAUGUAAACCAAGCCUAGCUUAUUCUUGAUUGUGGGAGGAGUUGUUGGAAACUUAAAAUUUAUUUUACAGUUGUUGUCAGAGAGCUGUGGGCAAUGGGUGAAAGAUAAUUCCGAGAGGAUAAUUCGAUAUGGCAUUGCUCUAUGUGCACUCAAGCAUUAGACCCACAGAUCCACCAAGUAGGGAUGAAGGGUGGCGAAAAUACACAAAGGAACUUGGGUCUAGGCGCACCUGAAUUGAAAAAAAAUAGUAGAAACAAUCAACUAUUUUUGGAAUUUUUGGCAACAUACAUGGUUUAUCCAUAAUACUCACGGUAAAAAUUUCAGGACAAAAUGAUUAUUGUCGUAUUCCGAACGAAAUACAAGAUAGUCACUAUUAAUGGUUUUUGUAGCUGCACUUUUGUUUUUGUCACUUGGAAAACGACAUAGCUCAUUUUGUCCCCAAAAUUUAAACAUGAGUAUUAUUCUAAACUGUUUCUCGCAAAAAAGUUUAACAACUUUGGAUUAUUUUACUAAAAAAAUGCUCAAUUCGGUGCGCCAGACCCAUAUCCCAAAAAUCCACACCAUGGAGGGUGGAUCAUAUUCCCCUAGUAACGCAGGGACUAGUGGCCAAUUUUUCGAUUUUACUUCCCAUCGGUUUUGAGAAUGUUCCAAAACCUUCCCUAUAAGACAAUUUCAUGGUCUCUUUUUAUUUUCAAUUUUUUCUCCUUUUAUUAUGUUUUAUUUUUUGUAAACAUUUUUCAAUACACAUAACAUUUUUUUUAAAUGCGGGAAUAAAUUUAAAUGUCAAAAUAUGUUUGUAAAAUCCAUGAAUUUUUUUAACUUAAAAAAACUUUUCUAAAAUUCAUGAAUAAGUUUUAAAACAUGAAAGAGUUUUUGAAAACUGAGAAUUUUUUUACAAAUUCAUAAACUUUUUUUUAAAUUCCCAAAAUUUUCCAAAUGUGUGAACAUUUUUAAAUAUCCGAGAACAUCUUUUAAAGUUCAUGGUCAAUUUCUGAAAUCUAGGAUAUUUUUUAAAUUCGUGAACAUUAUUGAAACUAGAGGAUACCCCAUGCGUUGCUCCGGGAAUUGCCUGAUAAAAAUUUGGAUUGAUAACAUGGGAACCAAAAUGAAAAUACAUAGGACUUAAUAUAUAAGAUUAUGUAUAGUUGUAACAAUAUUUAUUUAAUAUAAGUAGAAUAAUUAAAUGGAAAAUAUUCAUGCAUGGUUGAAUGUUGUGGUGGGCUUUUCCCCGUGCAUGAUUGCAUGUGAAAUGAGCCUUAUCACAUUCAUAAUGUAUGGUGAGGUGGCAUGCUUGCAUGUUGAGAUAAAUACGUUAGUGGGGAUGAGUCUCUUGUUAUAUAUAGGAUACGGGAACAAUUUUCAAAUUCUUGACGUUUUUUAAAAUCCAGGAAUAUUUCUGAAUAUAAUUUCAAAAUCCCAAAGGUUUUUUCAAAUUUAUGAUGUUAUUUAUUUAUUUUAGGCACAUUUUUCAAAUUAAAAAGGCAGGAAAAAGGAAAAACAUAGGGGCGCCCCACCCCACACAUGGGCCGACCCAAAGCGCGAGGGGUGUGUGCAUUUGUUGUGCCCCUGAUGUCCUAUGCGCAUGUUAGGAGGUCUUGACCAAGAUACAGAGAGCACAUCAUUGGUGCAUUCAGGGCUCGAUAGAUGCACUGCCGCUCGUGUGUGCCGCUAGCGGGUUGUGGCCCAUAGCUCUGUCCACCGCUGUUGUUUCGAUCGCCCUGGUCGGUGUUGACUUCCACGAAUCCUAUUUGGCAUCAACUGCGCAAACCCAACUGGAAGCUAACACAGGAAGUUAAUACCAACCAGGGCGAUCGAAACAGCAGCGGUGGACACAGUAAGCUAAAUAGGAUUCUCCGGUAUCUCAUGUUUGUGGUCGAGAAAGAAAAAACACAGGAAGCUAACUGGGCCGACCAAUGUAGGUUUUUUCUUUCUCGACCACAAACAUGAGAAACCGGAGCAAUGACACUGUUUGUUUUCUCGGGAAGAGACCCAACUGGUUUGUGAAGCUUCUAGAAGCUUCCGACCGGUUUUGGGAAGCUUUUGACCAAUUUUUUCCUUUUCUGGUUUUCUGGAUGGUUUUUAUUUAUUUUUUUUCUUUUUCUUUCAUUUCAUUUUUUUCUUAAAUUCGUCAACUGGUUUUUCAAAAUCCGUAAACUUGUUCCAAUAUCGAUGAUAUUUUUUCAGAUUUCAUGAACUCUUUUUCCAACAGGAAAUUCUUUUCCAAAAUUGAUGAACUUUACUCAAAAUCAAAGAUUUUUUUAAAACAAUUAUGAACUUGUCAAAUGUAUGUUUCAUUUGUCAAAAUCGACGAAAUUUUCUCAAAUAUAUGAAAAAAAAUCAAAAUUGAUGAACUUUUUUCAAAUGAAUAAACUUUUAUAAAAUCCGUAAACCAUUUUCGAUUUCACAAUUUUUUAUAAGUAUUAAAAAACUUGCUGGUUUUUUUGCUAGAUCAACAGCACGAAAAGGGGCAAAAAAGAACUAGCAUGCGUAGCAGGCGGCCAAGGGAUCUCAGUUGGGCCACGAUCCGCUUGGGGCGUGCAUGAGCGCCUUUUCACGUUUCGGACGCUGGAGGCGCCUAAUAGGAGCACUCGUUGACUUUAGGGUUCGCUCAAUCAAUAACUAGGUGGAUUUGUUUGCUAGCUUUCCCCCCUAUACUAGCAUGUGUGAAAUAAACCUGAUAGUUUUAAGAAAGGGUUUCGGUUUCUCCUAUUAAUUUAAAAAGUUCAUGAACUCGAAGAAAGUUUUAUCAACUAAAAAAUGUGGAUUUUAAAAAUGUUCAUCAAUUAGGAAAAGAAAAAUGUGAAUUUGAACCAAGUUUAUGAAUUUAUAAAAAGGUUCAUGAAUUAGAUUUUUUUAUGAAUUUCAAAAAGUAGACGAAUUUUAAAAGUUCAAAAGUUUACAAUUUUGAAGAAAACAUGGAUUUGAUAAAAAUAGUUCACGGGAUUACACAAAAAGUUCAAUAUUUUUUAAAACAAAAGUUCACAAAUUUGAAAAAUAUUGGCGGAUUUUCGAAGAAAAAAAAGUUGGCAGAUUUGGGAAAAGUUCAUCAACUUGAAAAAAGAUCAUGAAUUUAAAAAAAGUUCAAAAAUAUGGAAAACGAUUGUGGAUUGAAAAUAUAUUCAUGCAUUUGAAAAAAAAUUGUAGAUUAAAAAAAUCAUGAAUUUGUAAAAUUUCACAUGUUUUGAAAAUAGGUUCAUGGAUUUGAAAAUGUUUGCGAAUUUUAAAAACUUCACGUGCUUUGAAGGAAGUGUUCACGAAUUUAAGAAAAGUUAAUGAUUUAAAAAAGGGAAAAAAUAAGAAAAAGAAAUAUAAAACUAAAAAAACCACGAUAGAAAACCGACCAAACAAAAAUGAAAAAAAUGAAAACCGGAGUCUAGAAGGCGUUGUUUUUUCUUAGCGUUACAUUUGACGUGCCAAGUAGUAAAAGAAGCAAAAGUAGACAUUGCAAAUGAUAGGGCGAGGUUGGAAACUACGGCUGGAGAUAAACCAGCAGGUCGGAGGUUCGAAUCUCAUCGCGCACCUUUUUUUGAAUGUUAAAAGAAGGAAAACAAAGAGUAAAUGGACCGAUCCCUAGUAGUGUUAUGAUUGAGCGAUCAAGGAUGACGUGGGCUAUAUCCGAUAAAUGUGGAGCUCACGUCAUUGUGGGAGGUCUUAGGUGACUUAAUUAUAUUGUUUUCAUCUCUCCUAUACUUAAAAAGAACACAAGGUUAUGGCAUUCAUCUCAUGUUUCAUCCAACAUUAGGUACGUUCCCGUCCCUCUCUUCGUCUUGAUUUUCUUUCCUUUCUAUCUUUAUUUUUUCUCAUCGACUUUUCUUUGAAACCUUCUUAACUAUCUCAUCUUUUAUUGACUUGUCCAAUAAAAUUAUAUCUUGCUUCAAUUCUUCCAAUUGACCGGAGUUUGAAAAGGCUAGAACCCCAAGCACCGCUAAUAAAUGGAUACUUCAAUUCUUUCAGUUGACCUGAGUUCCUUUACAAUGCAUUGUAUCUCAUGAGCUUGUUCAAAUACAAAAUAAUUAUUUAUAAUCUUGUAGUCACGAGAGCUAUCCAUGAUGUAUAGUUCAUUGAUUGCAUCUGUUGUAUAAAAUUUAGCAUUCAGUGCCUCCCAGCUGCUUCCUAUCUUGUACAUGCAUGUACACAUCACACGGUAGUAAGAACACUCAAAAUGCAUCCUACAAAGAUCGAUGACAAAUUCAGGGUCUGUAAAACAGUUUACUGUUCAUGUACUGUUUUGACUCGAUUUGUCUUUUUUACUGAGAGCUAUUCAGAUGUCCAAAUGAGCUAAUAUUUGGAGCGAACCUCACGCAAUAAAUUGUCUACUAUGAAAAAAAAUUUGGAAUUUUUUGAAUUUUCUAGUAUUUGUUUUGAAUUUCUUUCUGACCGGGUGCAGAUAAGCCUGGGCACCGAAUCGCUACACUCAAAACGAAAAAGGUCAUUGGCAAACGACCAUUAUACAAUGGAACCUGGCACUAUUGUUUGCCCUAAGGGUCAACCCACCUUUCUGGAGUGUUGAGUAUCGUGAUUAUUAGGAAAGCUUGGAUAGUGUAGGAUAUUAUUCUACCUUGCCUUGUACUUCACGAUGAUCAUGUACUCAUAUAUAUAUGCCCACGAGGCUCAAGCAAUUCAUCGUGCAAUUCCCACAACAUACAUGGUAUCAGUUCCGGGUUCUAUGCCGCUUCCGCACCCGCGCGCCGCCCCCGGGGCAGUCGGCCUCCAUGACCGCCGCCGGGGGCCGCGCCGCCCGUACCUAGGGUUCGUCCGUCGGUCGUGUUGACCGGCUGCCUAAAAAGUCUUUUUCGCCGAUCGCUUGAUCCGGAUUUUUCUCCCUGUGCCGGUUGUCUUAAUCGGCGGUUAUUUUUGGUUUUCCGAUGUUAGAUUGGCUUGCGUGGCCCGCCGCCGUUUAUCAUCUACGACGCACGCUACUUCGUCAUCAUCUUCAUCAGCUUCGACGGGAUAGACUGUCACACGGUCCCUCGGACGUAUAUUGCGGGCGGCUCGCGCAGUCUUGUGCUGGCUCGUCGGGCUGGCCGCUUCGCGUGCGGCCACUCGCACGUCCCAUGCGGGCGUGAUUAGCGCGAUGGCCGCCUGCCAAUGCAGCCAGGCCGCGUGGUCGUGUUAUGCAUGUUGACCGGCCGUGCAAGUUCCGUGGCUUGCUGGCUGCUCGUUGCAUCUCAAGCGGAUUGAUCCUUAACGAUGCUGUAACAUCCCGUCGUCCGACGCAUCCGUUCGGUCUGAUUAACUGAACGUACUGCGUCGAAUUCCAUGAAGGUUGUCAUCGAAUAUUCGUGCGUCUUCAUCGAUUGAGCAACAGGGUGCCACUGCGUCGCCCCAUCGGGCCGCAGCACCGUCGUCCCGUGGUUCUCCCGUGGCUGCACCAAUCCGUGCCGCCGCUGCGUCGUCCCUUCGGGUCGUAGUGCCGCGACACGUGGUCCUCGCCACCGCCCUGAGGCUGUCUCUGUGGUUGCACCACAUCGCGCGUUGUCGCUGCGUCGCCCCUUCGGGCCGUAGUGUCGCGGCCCGCGAUCAACUGCCGCACCGAGGCCGUCCGCUCCAGGCCAUCCCCGAGGCUGCACCGACCCUCGCGCUGCCGUUGCGUCGCCCCGUCGGGCCGUAGCGAGUGUGGCACGUGAUCCCUGCAACCGCCCCGAGGUCUUCCCCGCCGUCGCCCCGACCUACCCGCCGCCGUUGCGUCGCCUCUUCGGACCGUAACGCUGCGGCCCGCGGUCCACCGCCGUCCACGCGCGUUGACUUCCACAUGAUAUCCGCCGCGCCGCCUCCCUUGGCGCGGGAACGUCACCGUCCGCGCCGGUCUUCGUCACGCUAUCGGGUUCAUUAUCGCCUACUUCGAGCAAUGCCGCCGCGCUCCUUCUCAAGCCGUCGCCGCCGCCUCCUUAGGCCGCCGCCACCGCUGCUCUUCUUCCGCGGCUCCACGGCGACUCCCUCGACACCGGCGCCCCCCGACUCGACACCGACCACGGCGUUCAUCGCACGGCUACCUCGACUACGUCUACACCACCUACACUCUCGGCUACCUCGACAAACGGCACCAAAGGGCUACCGCCUUGCUUGAGCAACCUCGUCGGUUUCCACUCCAGCCACGACUUCCGCGAUGCGUCNNNNNNNNNNNNNNNNNNNNNNNNNNNNNNNNNNNNNNNNNNNNNNNNNNNNNNNNNNNNNNNNNNNNNNNNNNNNNNNNNNNNNNNNNNNNNNNNNNNNNNNNNNNNNNNNNNNNNNNNNNNNNNNNNNNNNNNNNNNNNNNNNNNNNNNNNNNNNNNNNNNNNNNNNNNNNNNNNNNNNNNNNNNNNNNNNNNNNNNNNNNNNNNNNNNNNNNNNNNNNNNNNNNNNNNNNNNNNNNNNNNNNNNNNNNNNNNNNNNNNNNNNNNNNNNNNNNNNNNNNNNNNNNNNNNNNNNNNNNNNNNNNNNNNNNNNNNNNNNNNNNNNNNNNNNNNNNNNNNNNNNNNNNNNNNNNNNNNNNNNNNNNNNNNNNNNNNNNNNNNNNNNNNNNNNNNNNNNNNAACGUCACCGUCCGCGCCGGUCUUCGUCACGCUAUCGGGUUCAUUAUCGCCUACUUCGAGCAAUGCCGCCGCGCUCCUUCUCAAGCCGUCGCCGCCGCCUCCUUAGGCCGCCGCCACCGCUGCUCUUCUUCCGCGGCUCCACGGCGACUACCUCGACACCGGCGACCCCCGACUCGACACCGACCACGGCGUUCAUCGCACGGCUACCUCGACUACGUCUACACCACCUACACUCUCGGCUACCUCGACAAACGGCACCAAAGGGCUACCGCCUUGCUUGAGCAACCUCGUCGGUUUCCACUCCAGCCACGACUUCCGCGAUGCGUCGACCGUUACGACUGUGUGUGUGUUGGGGGGUGUCCGUCGGCUUACCUUUGGAUUCUUCUCCAGUCUCAUCGUCUGCGUCGCUACCGUUGUGACUGCGGGGGGAUGUUGAGUAUCGUGAUUAUUAGGAAAGCUAGGAUAGCGUAGGAUAUUAUUCUACCUUGCCUUGUACUCCAAGAUGAUCAUGUACUCCUAUAUAUAUGCCCACAAGGCUCAAGCAAUACAUCGAACAAUUCCACCAAAUCCAUCCCCCUCCCCCUUCUAACAUAGAGAAGCAGACACAUAACAUCACAACAUUACCCAUUUUCAAGACAAGAAAGUGGAGAAUGCACUCUCCAUUGCCCAAAGGAAAGGGGAGUGUGAAGGUAUAUUCAGAGUUCUGUUAAUCUAAUAUAAAUCAGAUAUAUUUUAAAGAAAGGGCUAUGAAAUAGACAUGUACAGAAUGGAAUUUGCCACUAAGAGCAUCUACAGUCGGGCUCGCCAAACCCACUAUACUUCCGGGCGGAUGGCCCAGUCACUAAUCGGUAAAAAUCGACCCAGGCGGCCGCCUCAUACCAUUCCCAAACGCCUGGGCUAAUCGACAUCCCUCAUAUCCAGCCCAAAUCUGGGACGGAUAUGGGGAGGCAUGGGUAAGCCCGGGCACGCCCGCCACGUCGGAUCCUUCCCACGCUGGCCCACCCGACCCCAUUUAUAUUCAUCCCUGUGCACUCCCUAACCAAACAAUACCUAGUCCACUCCGGUCCGGACCCAAGCUCACUUCUGGCGAUUUCCAGCCCUCUUAGGCAUGAUGGGUAGCAAAUCCGACUCCGACCACUUCUGAUCUAUCGACUGGGUGUCAUCCCACAUGGGCCAGAGGACGCUAUGUCCAUCCGCAUGGCCCUCCACCGCUCUCGAUAGGAGUGCGCCUGACCGACGUUGGAAUCUGUCCGGCACGAAUCCAUUGCGUCGGCGCAACUGGCGCUCAGAUCCGCCGGGGCUGGAGGCUCGAGGUUCGUCUAUCGCCCCUUCUUCGGUCCAGAGGAGUACGUGUGUUACAGGGACUGGGUGCCCAUUGUAACAAGCAGAGGGCGCGGGAGCACGAGGCCUGCCUCACUAACGAUGUGGUGGAGGCGGAGGCUGUUGGAAAUAUGCCCUAGAGGCAAUAAUAAAUUGGUUAUUAUUAUAUUUCCUUGUUCACGAUAAUCGUUUAUUAUCCAUGCUAGAAUUGUAUUGAUAGGAAACUCAGAUACAUGUGUGGAUACAUAGACAACACCAUGUCCCUAGUAAGCCUCUAGUUGACUAGCUCGUUGAUCAAUAGAUGGUUACGGUUUCCUGACCAUGGACAUUGGAUGUCGUUGAUAACGGGAUCACAUCAUUAGGAGAAUGAUGUGAUGGACGAGACCCAAUCCUAAGCCUAGCACAAGAUCGUGUAGUUCGUUUGCUCAGAGCUUUUCUAAUGUCAAGUAUCAGUUCCUUAGACCAUGAGAUUGUGCAACUCCUGGAUAUCGUAGGAAUGCUUUGGGUGUACCAAACGUCACAACGUAACUGGGUGGCUAUAAAGGUGCACUACAGGUAUCUCCGAAAGUGUCUGUUGGGUUGGCACGAAUCGAGACUGGGAUUUGUCACUCCGUGUAAACGGAGAGGUAUCUCUGGGCCCACUCGGUAGGACAUCAUCAUAAUGUGCACAAUGUGACCAAGGAGUUGAUCACGGGAUGAUGUGAGUUACGGAACGAGUAAAGAGACUUGCCAGUAACGAGAUUGAACAAGGUAUCGGGAUACCGACGAUCGAAUCUCGGGCAAGUAACAUACCGAUGGACAAAGGGAAUUGCAUACGGGAUUGAUUGAAUCCCCGACAUCGUGGUUCAUCCGAUGAGAUCAUCGUGGAACAUGUGGGAGCCAACAUGGGUAUCCAGAUCCCGCUGUUGGUUAUUGACCGGAGAACUUCUCGGUCAUGUCUGCAUGGUUCCCGAACCCGUAGGGUCUACACACUUAAGGUUUGAUGACGCUAGGGUUAUAGGGAAAGUAUGUACGUGGUUACCGAAUGUUGUUCGGAGUCCCGGAUGAGAUCCCGGACGUCACGAGGAGUUCCGGAAUGGUCCGGAGGUAAAGAUUUAUAUAUGGGAAGUCCUGUUUUGGUCACCGGAAAAGUUUCGGGUGAUAUCGGUAAUGUACCGGGACCACCGGGAGGGUCCCGGGGUCCACCAAGUGGGGCCACCAGCCCCAGAAGGCUGCGUGGGCCAAGUGUGGGAGGGGACCAGCCCCAGGUGGGCUGGUGCGCCCCCCACCAAGGCACAAGCGCAUGGGAGAGUGGGAGGGGGCAAACCCUAGGUCCAGAUGGGCCUUAAGGCCCACCCUAGUGGCGCCCCCCCCCCUCUCCUCCCCUUGGCCGCCCCCCUUAGAUGGGAUCUAGGGCUGGCCGCCUCCCCUUGGGGUGGGAACCCUAGAGGGGGCGCAGCCCCUUCCCCCCUAUAUAUAGUUGAGGUUUGGGGCUGCCCAAGACACGAGAACGUCUCUCUUUCGGCGCAGCCCUACCCCUCUCCCUCCUCCUCCUCUCCCGCGGUGCUUGGCGAAGCCCUGCGGAUUGCCACGCUCCUCCAUCACCACCACGCCGUCGUGCUGCUGCUGGAUGGAGUCUUCCCCAACCUCUCCCUCCCUCCUUGCUGGAUCAAGGCGUGGGAGACGUCACCGGGCUGCACGUGUGUUGAACGCGGAGGCACCGUUCUUCGGUGCUCAGAUCGGAAUCAACCGCGAUCUGAAUCGCUACGAGUACGACUCCCUCAUCCGUGUUCUUGCAACGCUUCCGCAUCGCGAUCUACAAGGGUAUGUAGAUGCACUCCCCUUCCCCUCGUUGCUAGAUUACUCCAUAGAUUGAUCUUGGUGAUGCGUAGAAAAUUUUGAAUUUCUGCUACGUUCCCCAACAGUGGCAUCAUGAGCUAGGUCUAUGCGUAGUUUCUAUGCACGAGUAGAACACAAAGCAGUUGUGGGCGUAGAUGUUGCCAAUUCUUCUUGCCGCUACUAGUCUUAUCUUGUUUCGGCGGCAUUGUGGGAUGAAGCGGCCCGGACCGACCUUACACGUACGCUUACGUGAGACUGGUUCCACCGACUGACAUGCACUAGUUGCAUAAGGUGGCUAGCGGGUGUCUGUCUCUCCCACUUUAGUCGGAACGGAUUCGAUGAAAAGGGUCCUUAUGAAGGGUAAAUAGAAAUUGGCAUAUCACGUUGUGGUUUUACGUAGGUAAGAAACGUUCUUGCUAGAAACCUAUACAAGCCACGUAAAAACUUGCAACAACAAUUAGAGGACGUCUAACUUGUUUUUGCAGCAUGUGUUAUGUGAUGUGAUAUGGCCAAAAGGAUGUGAUGAAUGAUAUAUGUGAUGUAUGAGAUUGAUCAUGUUCUUGUAAUAGGAAUCACGACUUGCAUGUCGAUGAGUAUGACAACCGGCAGGAGCCAUAGGAGUUGUCUUUAUUUUUUGUAUGACCUGCGUGUCAUUGAAUAACGCCAUGUAAAUUACUUUACUUUAUUGCUAAGCGCGUUAGCCAUAGAAGUAGAAGUAAUCGUUGGCGUGACAACUUCAUGAAGACACAAUGAUGGAGAUCAUGAUGAUGGAGAUCAUGGUGUCAUGCCGGUGACAAAGAUGAUCAUGGUGCCCCGAAGAUGGAGAUCAAAGGAGCAAGAUGAUAUUGGCAAUAUCAUGUCACUAUUUGAUUGCAUGUGAUGUUUAUCAUGUUAUGCAUCUUAUUUGCUUAGAACGACGGUAGUAAGUAAGAUGAUCCCUAAAAAAUUUCAAGAGACGUGUUCCCCCUAACUGUGCACCGUUGCGAAGGUUCGUUGUUUCGAAGCACCACGUGAUGAUCGGGUGUGAUAGAUUCUAACGUUCGAAUACAACGGGUGUUGACGAGCCUAGCAUGUACAGACAUGGCCUCGGAACACAUGCAAAACACUUAGGUUGACUUGACGAGCCUAGCAUGUACAGACAUGGCCUCGGAACACAAGAGACCGAAAGGUCGAACAUGAGUCGUAUAGUAGAUACGAUCAACAUGGAGAUGUUCACCGAUGAUGACUAGUCCGUCUCACGUGAUGAUCGGACACGGCCUAGUUUGACUCGGAUCAUGUAUCACUUAGAUGACUAGAGGGAUGUCUAUCUGAGUGGGAGUUCAAUAAUCAGAUGAACUUCAUUAUCAUGAACAUAGUCAAAAAGUCUUUGCAAAUUAUGUCAUAGCUUGCGCUUUAGUUCUACUGUUUAAGAUAUGUUCCUAGAGAAAAUUUAGUUGAAAGUUGAUAGUAGCAAUUAUGCGGACUGGGUCCGUGAACUGAGGAUUGUCCUCAUUGCUGCACAGAAGGCUUAUGUCCUUAAUGCACCGCUCGGUGUGCUGAACCUCAGCGUCGUCUGUAGAUGUUGCGAAACAUCUGACAUACACGUUUUGAUGACUACGUGAUAGUUCAGUGUGUAAUGCUAACGGUUUAGAAUUGUGGCACCAAAGAUGUUUUGAAACGUCGCAGAACAUGUGAGAUGUUCCGAAGACUGAAAUUGGGAUUUCAGACUAGUGCCCACGUCAAGAGGUAUGAGACCCCUGACAAGUUUCUUAAGCCUGCAAACUAAGGGAGAAAAGCUCAAUCGUUGAGCAUGUGCUCAGAUUGUCUGAGUACUACAAUCACUUGAAUCAAGUGGGAGUUAAUCUUCCAGAUGAGAUAGUGAUGAUUCUCCAUAGUCACUGCCACCAAGCUAUUAGAGCUUCGUGAUGAACUAUAACAUAUCAGGGAUAGAUAUGAUGAUCCUUGAGCAACUCGCGAUGUUUGACACCGCGAAAGUAGAAAUCAAGAAGGAGCAUCAAUUGUUGAUGGUUAGUAAAACCACUAGUUUCUAGAAGGGCAAGGGCAAAAGGGAUACUUCAUGAAACAGCAAAUCAUUUGCUGCUCUAGUGAAGAAUCCCAAGGUUGAACCCAAACCCGAGACUAAGUGCUUCUGUAAUGAGGGGAACGGUCACUGAAGCAGAACUACCCUAGAUACUUGGUAGAUGAGAAGGCAGGCAAGGUCGACAGAAGUAUAUUGGAUAUACAUUAUAUGAAUGUGUACUUUACUAGUACUCCUAGCAGCACCAGGGUAUUAGAUACUGGUUCGGUUGCUAAGUGUUAGUAACUCGAAAUAAAAGCUGCGGAAUAAACGGAGACUAGCUAAAGGUGAGAUGACGAUAUGUGUUGGAAGUGUUUCCAAGGUUGAUGUGAUCAAGCAUCGCAUGCUCCCUCUACCAUCGAGAUUUGGUGUUUGCGUUGAGCAUGAUUGGAUUAUGUUUGUCGCAAUACGGUUAUUCAUUUAAGGAGAAUAAUGGUUACUCUGUUUAUUUGAAUAAUACCUUCAAUGGUCUUGGACCUAAAAUGAAUCUCGAUCGUAGUGAUACACAUGUUCGUGCCAAAAGAUAUAAAAUAGUAAUGAUAGUACCACAUACUUAUGGCACUGCCAUUUGAGUCAUAUUGGUAUAGAACGCAUGAAGAAGCUCCAUGUAGAAGGAUCUUUGGACUCACUCGUUUUUGAAAAGAUUGAGACAUGCGAACCAUGUCUAUUGGUAUAUAUGCAUGAAGAAACUCCAUGCAGAUGGAUCGUUUGGACUCACUUGAUUUCGAAUCACUUGAGACAUGCAAAUCAUACCACAUGGGCAAGAUGACUGAAAGUCCUCGUUUUCAGUAAGAUUGAACAAGAGAGCAACUUGGAAUGGAAGAGAUAAUUAAAUUAAUUAGGCCUUGAACUUCUACUUUCGUUUAGAAUUUAGGCGGAAGUAAUACAUUUUGAUGUAUGCAGUCCAAUGAGUGCUGAGGCAUGCAGUGGAUAUCGUUAUGUUCUUACUUCACAGAUGAUUUGAGUAGAUGCUGAGUGUAUUUACUUGAUGAAACACAAGUCUGAAUUAUUGAAAGGUUCAAGUAAUUUCAGAGUGAAGUUGAAGAUCGUCGUGACAAGAGGAUAAAAUGUCUGUGAUAUGAUCAUAGAGAUGAGUAUCUGAGUUACGAGUUUGGCACACAAUUAAGACAUUGUGGAAAAUGUUUCACAAUUAAUACCGCCUGGAACACCAUGGUGUGAUGGUGUGUCCGGACAUCAUAGCUGCACCCUAUUGGAUAUGGUGCAUACCAUGAUGUCUCUUAUCGAAUUACCACUAUCGUUUAUGGGUUAGGCAUUAGAGACAACCGCAUUCACUUUAAAAGGGGCACCACGCAAUUCCGUUGAGACGACACCGUUUAGAGAAACCUAAGUUGUCGUUUCUUAAAGGUUUGGGGCUGCGAUGCUUAUGUGAAAAAGUUUCAGGCUGAUAAGCUCGAACCCAGAGCGGAUAAAUGCAUCUUCAUAGAAUACCCAAAACAGUUGGGCAUACCUCCUAUUUCAGAUCUGGAAGCAAAAGUAAUUGCCUCUAGAAACGAGUCCUUUCUCGAGGAAAAGUUUCUCUCAAAAGAAUUGAGUGGGAGGAUGGUGGAGACUUGAUAAGGUUAUUGAACCGUCACUUCGACUAGUGUGUAGCAGGGCACAGGAAGUUGUUCCUAUGGCACCUACACCAAUUGAAGUGGAAGCUUAUGAUAGUGAUCAUGAAACUUCGGAUCAAGUCACUACCAAACCUCGUAGGACGACGAGGAUGCGUGCUACUUCAGAGUGGUACGUGAUCCUGUCUGAGAUAUCAUGUUGUUGGACAAUACUGAACCUACGAGCUAUGGAGAAGCGAUGGUGGGCCCAUAUUCCGACAAAUGGUUAGAAGCCAUGAAAUCCGAGAUAAAUGGAUCUUUAAGAAGAAGACGGGCGUGGACGGUAAUGUUACCGUCUAUGAAGCUCGACUUGUGACAAAGAGUAUUUCCACAAGUUCAAGGAGUUGACUACGAUGAGAUUUUCCCAUCCGUAGCGAUGCUUAAGUCCGUCGGAAUCAUGUUAGCAUUAGCUGUAUUUAUGAAAUCUGGCAGAUGGAUGUCAAAACAAGUUUCCUUACUUGUUUUCGUAAGGAAAGGUUGUAUGUGAUACAAUCAGAAAGGUUUUGUCGAUCCUAAGGAUCUAAAAGGUAUGCUAGCUCCAGCGAUCCUUCCAUGGACUAGAGCAAGCAUCUCGGAGUCAGAAUAUACGCUUUGAUGGAGUGAUCAAAGUUUUUGGGUUUAUACAAAGUUUGUUAGAAACUUGUAUUUACAAUAAAGUGAGUGGGAGCGCUACAACAUUUCUGAUAAGUAUAUGUGAAUGACAUAUUGUUGAUCCGAAAUGAUGUAAAAAUUUCUGGAAAGCAUAAAGGGUUGUUUGAAAGGAGUUUUUCAAAGGAAGACCUGGAUAAAGCUGCUUACAUAUUGGGCAUCAAGAUCUAUAGAGAUAGAUCAAGACGCCCGAUGAUACUUUCAAAGAACGCACACCUUGACAUGAUUUUGAAAGAGUUCAAAAUAGAUCAGCAAAGAAGGAGUUCUUGGCUGUGUUACAAGGUGUGAGUAUUGAGUGAGACUCAAGACCUGACCACAGCAGAAGAGAGAGAAAGGACGAAGGUCGUCCCCUAUGCUUUAGACGUAGGCUCUACAGUAUGCUAUGUUGUGUACCGCACAUGAAGUGUGCCUUGCCAUGAGUUGGUCAAGGGGUACAAUAGUGAUCCGGGAAUGGAUCACAUGACAGCGGUCGAACUUAUCCUUAGUAUCUAGUGGACUAAGGAAUUUUCUCGAUUAUGGAGGUGAAAGGGAGUUCGUCGUAAAGGGUUACGUCGAUGCGAACUUUGACACUAAUCCGGAUGACUCUGAGUAGUAAACCGGAUUCGUAUAGUAGAGCAAUUAUUUGAAAUGGCUCCAAAUAGCGCGUGGUAGCAUCCACAAGAUGACAUAGAUAUUCGUAAAGCACACACGGAUCUGAAAGGUUCAGACCCGUUGACUAAAUAACCUCUCUCACAAGCAUAACAUGAUCAAACCAGAACUCAUUGAGUGUUAAUCACAUAGAGAUGUGAACUAGAUUGUUGACUCUAGUAAACUCUUUGGAUGUUGGUCACAUGGUGAUGUGACCUGUGAGUGUUAAUCACAUGGUGAUGUGGACUAGAUUAUUGACUCUAGUGCAAGUGGGAGACUGUUGGAAAUAUUCCCUAGAGGCAAUAAUAAAUUGGUUAUUAUUAUAUUUCCUUGUUCACGAUAAUCGUUUAUUAUCCAUGCUAGAAUUGUAUUGAUAGGAAACUCAGAUACAUGUGUGGAUACAUAGACAACACCAUGUCCCUAGUAAGCCUCUAGUUGACUAGCUCGUUGAUCAAUAGAUGGUUACGGUUUCCUGACCAUGGACAUUGGAUGUCGUUGAUAACGGGAUCACAUCAUUAGGAGAAUGAUGUGAUGGACGAGACCCAAUCCUAAGCCUAGCACAAGAUCGUGUAGUUCGUUUGCUCAGAGCUUUUCUAAUGUCAAGUAUCAGUUCCUUAGACCAUGAGAUUGUGCAACUCCCGGAUACCAUAGGAAUGCUUUGGGUGUACCAAACGUCACAAUGUAACUGGGUGGCUAUAAAGGUGCACUACAGGUAUCUCCGAAAGUGUCUGUUGGGUUGGCACGAAUCGAGACAGGGAUUUGUCACUCCGUGUAAACGGAGAGGUAUCUCUGGGCCCACUCGGUAGGACAUCAUCAUAAUGUGCUCAAUGUGACCAAGGAGUUGAUCACGGGAUGAUGUGAGUUACGGAACGAGUAAAGAGACUUGCCGGUAACGAGAUUGAACAAGGUAUCGGGAUACCGACGAUCGAAUCUCGGGCAAGUAACAUACCGAUGGACAAAGGGAAUUGCAUACGGGAUUGAUUGAAUCCCCGACAUCGUGGUUCAUCCGAUGAGAUCAUCGUGGAACAUGUGGAAGCCAACAUGGGUAUCCAGAUCCCGCUAUUGGUUAUUGACCGGAGAACUUCUCGGUCAUGUCUGCAUGGUUCCCGAACCCGUAGGGUCUACACACUUAAGGUUCGAUGACGCUAGGGUUAUAGGGAAAGUAUGUACAUGGUUACCGAAUGUUGUUCGGAGUCCCGGAUGAGAUCCCGGACGUCACGAGGAGUUCCGGAAUGGUCCGGAGGUAAAGAUUUAUAUAUGGAAAGUCCUGUUUUGGUCACCGGAAAAGUUUCGGGUGAUAUCGGUAAUGUACCGGGACCACCGGGAGGGUCCCGGGGGUCCACCAAGUGGGGCCACCAGCCCCAGAAGGCUGCGUGGGCCAAGUGUGGGAGGGGACCAGCCCCAGGUGGGCUGGUGCGCCCCCCACCAAGGCACAAGCGCAUGGGAGAGUGGGAGGGGGCAAACCCUAGGUCCAGAUGGGCCUUAAGGCCCACCCUAGUGGCGCCCCCCCUCUCCUCCCCUUGGCCGCCCCCCUUAGAUGGGAUCUAGGGCUGGCCGCCUCCCCUUGGGGUGGGAACCCUAGAGGGGGCGCAGCCCCUUCCCCCCCUAUAUAUAGUUGAGGUUUGGGGCUGCCCAAGACACGAGAACGUCUCUCUUUCGGCGCAGCCCUACCCCUCUCCCUCCUUCUCCUCUCCCGCGGUGCUUGGCGAAGCCCUGCGGAUUGCCACGCUCCUCCAUCACCACCACGCCGUCGUGCUGCUGCUGGAUGGAGUCUUCCCCAACCUCUCCCUCCCUCCUUGCUGGAUCAAGGCGUGGGAGACGUCACCGGGCUGCACGUGUGUUGAACGCGGAGGCACCGUUCUUCGGUGCUCAGAUCGGAAUCAACCGCGAUCUGAAUCGCUACGAGUACGACUCCCUCAUCCGCGUUCUUGCAACGCUUCCGCAUCGCGAUCUACAAGGGUAUGUAGAUGCACUCCCCUUCCCCUCGUUGCUAGAUUACUCCAUAGAUUGAUCUUGGUGAUGCGUAGAAAAUUUUGAAUUUCUGCUACGUUCCCCAACAGAGGCAGCGGCGCGCGCUGCUGCGGAAGAGGAAGCCAUUUGUGUCGGAAUCCUCCAGAAGUGGCAGAGAAGGAACACGCGCACCCACACCUGAGAGCAAGCGUGGGCGGUCUGUGCCAUGGCUGGACUGCCCCCAAAAGAGGAGAAUGGGGACAGUGACAGGGCGGACAUCUCGGGCAAGGAGCAGAUCCGGCUUGAUCCAUAUUGCAUCUUCGAGUGCUACUUCCGCUACAAAGACGCCAUGAGCAGCAAUAUCAACCGUGGAUGAUCUUUGUGGAUAGUUUAGUAUGUAUGUAGAACAUGCCAAACAUUGGUAACCCGGUGGCAUGUAUUGAUGUAGUAGCCAGACGUCCGGCUGUUUCGGAAGUUGACGGUGCAUGUGUGAUAUAUAGAUUUGAGGUUUGCUAAUUGAGGUAUCCAAGUGUGUGGAGACGAAAAUUUAAGAUGUGACCGGUCACUGUCCGCGGAUGUGCCCAGCCGCGGAUAUUUGAGGGACCGAAUUUGUUAUUCGUGAAUGUAGAUGCUCUUACAUAAUUUAUUUACUAGUAAUACAUCUACUUGCAAUUUUAGAUUGCUUCAAUCAUAUUUUUAUUCGAAUUUUCAUUGCUUCAUGUCAUACUUCUAGCAUCAUCUGUAAGCCCUUUAGAAUUGUUCUCGGGGUUGCUAAACAGGAUUGUUAAUAGUGUGCAUGGUAAUUAAACGCCAAAAUGGUCUCCACCAAAAACUAAUACUGUUAUCAUUAUCAUCGAAAGAUCGAACACUCGUAUCUUGAUGACGUUGCUGAUGUCCCUGGCAAAGCACGGCCAUGCAGUUUCAGCCUAAACAUCUGCUGAACUAUACCCGAGUAUAUAUAUUCAUAACAUGCAUCACUAAUUCACUACCCACGCUGCUAGUAGGGCAAAUAAUUAACACACCGAGCAAAUAUGUAACACUUCUGGAUUGGAUUAAACAUGUUGCACGUCCACACGGAGUAUUGCUAAUUUUGGUGAUGCUCUCGUCGAUCAGCUCCAGAACCACGCCCAGUACUUGCGCUGCGCCUCCUCCUCUUCCUCCUCCCCUUGUUGGACGCUCCCGCGCUCCGCGGCCGCGACGUCGAGCAUGGCGUACUCGGGGAGGAAGAAGGCGCAGCUGUUCAGCUCGCCGCGCACCGCUCCGGCGCAGUCGUCGUCCGAGGACGACGGAGGCGAGCGCGCGUCGGCCAAGUAGGAGUUGGACUCCGGGCUGUCGUUGGCUCCCCCGGCAAAACCGGCCAGCAGCCCCGCCGCGCCAUCGCAGGCGGCAUAGCCGUCUUUCAGCUCAACGGCUGGGACACCGGCAUCUGCCGUGCCUGACACGGCGGUUGGCUCCUCUGGCUUCGACGACUCCUUGGCUUGCAGUUUCUCGGUCAGUGAUGUCACCUGCAAGCGCGCGUGCGCGGUCAUUAUCGAGGUGACAAGGUCUUGUUUGAAUUCAGGUGAUUUGGGACAACUGUGACAGUGAUCUAGAGGAUUUGCCAAGUACUGGAAAUUAGUCGGUCGAUUGAGCACUUUACUAGGUGUACUAGAUUCUUAUCAUACUUAGUACUCCCUUCGUCUCACAAUAUUAGAACGUUUUGCAAGCUAUGUUAGUUUGCAAAACGUUCUUAUAUUGUAGGACGGAGGGAGUACUAUACUAUUAUGUGACCCUACUGGUGAAUCCGCAUUCUAUUUACAGAGAAUAAUUCUUCCAAAGACAAUCGAAUCUUCAUCAUUCAAACAAAUAUUCGCAGAGGAAAUAUUUUGAUUGACUAAAAUGUGAAUUUCGUUUGACCCGGAUCGAACUCAAGGGCUACUUUGGCCGUGUAGCUCAUGGAAACUCAAUUAUGAAUAGGUGUGACCUUAAUUAAGCGAUGAGCUGGCCGUGGCCAGAUUGAUGAUCACCUGCGAUCGUAGUCGGUGGUUGUCGGCGAGGAGGGCGUCUCGUCCGGCGAGCAGCUCGUCGUGGGCGGCCCUGAGGGCGUCGAAGUCCUGCUCGAGCUGCUUCGCCUUCCAGCGCGCGCGGCGGUUCUGGAACCACACGGCCACCUGCCGCGGCGCGAUUCCCAGCCGCCGCGCCAGCUCGCUCUUCCGCUCCGGCUCCAGCUUCCGCUUCUCCUCCUCGAAGCUCCGCUCCAGCGCCCGCACCUGCUCCGCCGUCAGCCGGCGCUUCCUCUCGGGCGCGUGCUCGUCGAGGCCGUAGUACCCGUACAUCUCCUCGUCCAGCUGGAGCUCCUCGUCCACCGUUGUCAAGAACGGCCUCUUACGCCGCCCGUCCUCCACGCCGACCACCACCGGCGAGCCUGCAAAUACUCACGCGUGUAAGUGCAAUCAAGUAGAGAAUUCCAAGAACGAACGCCAACGAUACCGAUCCAUACCUCCAAGGAAGCUCCCGCUGCCGCCAAAGAGCAUCAUCUGGCCUCCUCCGGCGCCGGCAGCGCGGCACGGCGCGGCCGAGCCGAAAAUGAGGCGGCCGGAUUCCAUAGAAAACUCUAUCAAGAACCAAAGAAGAAGACCCUAUCUUGCGGCACUAAAAUUACAUAUGCGUGUGCGCACCACGCGCUCCCCCACCUCCUUUUGAAACGCGGAGGCGAUCGACCGGCCGGCCGGAGCUUGCUUGAUUAGAAGGAGGAGGCGGCGGCGGCCGGGAACUUGUGACGGUAGAAGCUUGUGCUCCACAGCAUGCGCGUCGACGUCUUCAUGGGGUACAGAGAGAACCCCAUCUCUCCAGCCACCGCCGGAGAAGAACACGGGAUUCUGUCAGGCCAAGUUUGCGCGAUGCACGGUGGCCGGAGAAGCUGGCCGGCGGUGGUGGAUGGACUGGCUGCAAAUAAGCUUUUUGGGUUUGUAAAUAUCUGUACUCCUAAUUGGGGAUCAGGGACACUGCGGGUAAAGUUUGGAGUGUAAAGGAGGAAGGAUUAUAUAGGCCCAAUGGGUGGUGUGAAUUUAAAGAAAUGUCCUUGAUUUGAUUAGAGUGGCAGCUUUGUCUCCUAAUUGGGGGAUUAGAGUAUCUUUAUUACUAUGAGAUUUAGUCUCUUUAAGAUAACUUAUUUAUAUUUAGGUUCUCCUUUUAUUAAUCAAGUGGUACACCUAGCCAUAGGCGAUCGUCAUUUUACACGCUGAGACCCUAAUAAAAAUAGCUGAAGGAACUUUUUGGAUGACCUCAUAAGAGGGUGCUCCUACAAUUUCAUAGGACAGAAUUUGCCCGGUUUAUAUCAUAAACUUCAUAACAUUAUGAUUGAUUAGGGGAUACCCCUGCAAAAAUAGGCUACGGAAGCGAGCAACCCCUAACCGAAUUAGAGUCCUCCACCAAAUGCAAACCGAUGACCUUAGGUCCAAAGAGACACAGGGCAGGUGUGAAGAAUCUCUUCAACAACACCUCUGAGGUGGCGCCCGUGAGCGUCAACAUCAUCGUCGCCGCCCCAUCGGGAGAAAGCUUUCGCCCAUAGCGCCUUGNNNNNNNNNNNNNNNNNNNNNNNNNNNNNNNNNNNNNNNNNNNNNNNNNNNNNNNNNNNNNNNNNNNNNNNNNNNNNNNNNNNNNNNNNNNNNNNNNNNNNNNNNNNNNNNNNNNNNNNNNNNNNNNNNNNNNNNNNNNNNNNNNNNNNNNNNNNNNNNNNNNNNNNNNNNNNNNNNNNNNNNNNNNNNNNNNNNNNNNNNNNNNGGGACUCUUCGACAACGUCUCCAAAAAGGUGAAAGACAUCUAUGGGCUCCUUGGUUACUAGUGAAAGAACAUGCGGUGCCCCCAUGUUUGGUUUUGGUAAUUGUUGACAAUCUCUAUGGACUAAUGGUUGCCUUGAGUUAUAUUUGAAGGAUUUGUCCAUAGGCUUUUCUUGAAGUCCAUGUGUUGGUUUCAAGGAGUUUAUGUGGUGACCAAGGUGUUGUUAAGGAAUUAUCCAAAGAUUGGUCAUGUGAGAGUAGAGCUUAUUGCAAGCAUGUCUUGAAGAAGAAGAUUGUGUGAUCAUUCAUGUUUACCUUCAAGACAUCAUCCAAAUGAAGAGAGUUGGAAAGAGUCAAGGUUGAUCAAGACUAAGUCAAGAGUGAAUCAAGUUGAUCAACACACAAAGCGCACAAGAUGUACCGAGAGGGAUCAAGCGAUCCCAUGGUGUGGUAAGCAUUGUCAAUUACGCUUUGUGUACUAACCCAUGAUCUUCAUGAGAGUUCUUUGUGGGGUUAGGUUGCGGUGUGCAAGUUCAAGUGAAGCAUCAUGAAGAGAUCAAAUGCUUGAAGCUUGCCGUCCAUUGUGGCGACAAUGGACUUGUGAAGAUGUUGCGGUGUGCAAGUUCAAGUGAAGCAUCAUGACGAGAUCAAAUGCUUGAAGCUUGCCGUCCAUUGUGGUGACAAUGGACUGGUGAAGAUGUGCGGAAGAGUGGCUCACCCAUAGUGGAGUAUGGGGGAGCAAUCAACUAGUCUUCAUCGAGCCAACACAACCAAGAAAGGUGGUCCAACUUGAGGGAGUCAAGAUCGUCAUCAUCUAGCUCAAGUGGACCAUGUGCAAGGCAAAGGUUUGCUCUUGAUAGGUUUUCUAUUUUACCGGUCUCAUGAUGGUAGUUGGGAGACCGGGUUAUAGGAUCGAUUGCCGUACUAUCAAGGGGGGCUCUCGAUGCGUAGCUUGAUCGUAUCGUUCAUAGAGAGCUCAAACCAUUGCAUCCUUGCAUCAUCUUUGUUGGUUCUUGUUUGGUUCUUCUCUUUGUGAGUUUUGGAGCUUAUGGUCAUCUUGAUGACAAGCUCGAGUUCAUCGAAAACGGAGUUCACUCGCAUCUUCUAUGAUGUUUUCGAUGUUGGAGGUUAUGCCGGUUCUUCUCGGUUGGAGGUUUCACUCCUCUAUUUUUUUGGCAUACCUCCCCUGCCUCUUCUUACUAUAACCAGUCGCUGUUUUGAUGCUACUCGUCUUUCUCAAUCCAACAAGCUUGAGUUUGCUCAAUUCGGAGCUCAUAUGCAGAAGUUAUGGCAGUUUUGGUUUCCUAGCGGUAGUACCGCGGCCAGAGCGGCAGUACCGCUUAUCACCCCAAGCGGUAGUACCGCUGUCCAAAGCGGUAGUACCGCCUAUGGCCAUAAGCGGUAGUACGGCUACGGUUCCGCGCUGGUACCGCCUCGAUUUUGGGUCUUGCAUUUUUCGUGUCGAGUUUUGCAGUAGUUGCACGGCAGUAAGGCACGACAGUUCCACCUAUAAGCGGUAGUACCGCCCUGAUGGGCGGUAGUACCGCCUAUAAGCGGUAGUACCGCUCCGGUCGGGCGGUAGUACCGCUACUGUUUUUUUUUUGGUCCCGUGUUCUGCUCCUCCAGCGGUAGUACCGCUGGGGUGCGCGGUAGUACCGCUUAUAAGCGGUACUACCGCCCCAAGGUUCAUGUUUGGUUGCUCCUUUUCCCCGCUUCUUCCGCCAGAGCGGUAGUACCGCUCGUGGAGCGGUAGUACCGCUCGUGUGCGGGCUGAGCACAUAACGGUUGGAUUUUUCCCCUUCUAUAAAAGGGGGUCUUCUUCCCCAUUUAACCUUAUCUCUUAAGCUCGUGUUCUUCCCCCAUUGUUGACCUUCUUCGAGCUUGCUAACUCUCAAUCCCUCCAUGGAUUCUUGCUAGUUUUUGAGGGAAAAGAGAGAGGAGAUCUAGAUCCACAUUUUCACCAAUCACUUUCUCCUCUUUGUGAGGGGAACCCCUUGGAUCUAGAUCUUGGAGUUCUUGGUGUUCUCCUUCUUGUUCUUCCUCUCAUUUUCCUCCCUAGCAUUAGUUGCUUCGGUGGGAUUUGAGAGAGAAGGACUUGGGCACUCCGUGUGCCCUUGCCAUUGCAUUUGGUGCAUCGGUUUGAGUUCUCCACGGUGAUACGUGGAAGUUACAAGUUGAGAAGCUUAUUACUCUUGGGUGCUUGGUGCCCUUGAGCUUGUUCCUCUUGGGUGCUUGGGCGCCCUAGACGGUUGGUGGUGUUCGGAGCUCAAUCAUUGUGGUGUAAAGCUCCGGGCAAGUAUCGGGGUCUCCAAUUAGGUUGUGGAGAUCGCCCCGAGCAAUUUGACGGGUACCGGUGACCGCCCCCAAGGGUUGCCAAAGUGUACGGGUUCGGUGACCGCCCCCAAGGGUUGCCAUUUGUACGGGUUCGGUGACCGCCCUCAAGGGUCCCUUAGUAGAAUCACGGCAUCUUGCAUUGUGCGAGGGCGUGAGGAGAUUACGGUGGCCCUAGUGGCUUCUUGGGGAGCAUUGUGCCUCCACACCGCUCCAAACGGAGAUUAGCAUCCGCAAGGGUGUGAACUUGGGAUACAUCAUCGUCUCCGCGUGCCUCGGUUAUCUCUUAUCCGAGCUCUUUACUUAUGCACUUUACUUUGUGAUAGCCAUAUUGCUUCUUGUCAUAUAUCUUGCUAUCACCUAGUAGUUUAUCUUGCUUAGCAUAAGUUGUUGGUGCGCAUAGGUGAGCCUAGUUGUUGUAGGUUUUGUGCUUGACAAAUUAACCGCUAGGUUUAUUCCGCAUUUGUUCAAGCCUAAACCGUAAUUAUUUUAAAGCGCCUAUUCACCCCCCCCCCCUUUAGGCGACAUCCACGAUCUUUCAACUAGUAUCAACCUUCGUAGGCCAAAGCUUUCUCUUAGAGUCCAGUAACCCUCCACCCCAACGAGUCUCUUGGAAGGAGGCUCAACUGCUGACAAGCUUCAGACUAGUUGUAAACACAACCAAGCCCGAAAGUCGGUUGCGAACCACACUAACUGGAUCAGAGAGCCUACAUCCUCCAGGACACCUCUCCACUGCACCACAUGCGUCACAAAAACAUGACAACUUUCCAUGAGGCCACCCUUACCGUCACAACUGGAACACAUUUGCGACGACACUGACCAUUGUAGCCAUCACGCUGACGACGACAUCCUACCAUUGAGCGCCACCUCCAUAGCAUGCCAAGGGCAUUAUGCAAAGUACCUGACAGUGGUACAGUAAUCACUCAUAUAUUUGGUUGAUAGUGGGAUAUCAUCUCAUGUCAUCGAACGAACAUGGGACACCUUUUUUUACUCAGGUCCAGGCCCUGAGAUGCAGGUAAUAGCCAUACUCUUGCUUAUAUGGGAUACACCAAGACAAGGUACAAGGAGGGAUUACAAUGAUGGUUUCAGUGAGCCCAUGGGUGACUCUCCGAGUGUAUGGUCGGUGAUCCGGAUGGGAAGCCUAGACCGAUGUCUUCAACGUCUAAGAUUUGUCUUCGGUAGAUUUCCUGUAGUGGUGGCUUGUGUAGGACUUGUUCCCUUCAUAUAGUUUCUUGGACUCCUUGCAUGGGAGUGGAGAUAUGGGAGUCUUUUCUGGAUGUGUCUUUUCUUUUUCUAGGUUGGAUAUGCUUCCCUUGUUGAAUACGACUCCAUAAAGGAAAGUUAGCUGCCCAGGUGGGGGCCCGACACCACGUGUACAUAGGAAAAUAUGGCCCAAAAUACACUACACACGGCACGGGAAUGCGGUGAAACCACUUCACCUCGAUAAUCCUCCCAACCUGCGCUUCUGCAUGUCGAAAUGCGCCGCCAGUGGGUCUUUGGAGGACUCCAUAUCCACGGCACGCGACCUUCUUCCAGUCGCCAGUCAACCGCCACAUCAUCGAAAUGAAGAGGGCCGCCACUGCCGCAACUAGGGAUUCCCAUCCCAACCGCCGCAUGUGGGAUCUUAGAUAAGUUGUCCCCACGACCAAAGCCAAUCGCCGCCGACCACCUUCGAAACGCCAAGUCGAGGUCCACUCAUGCCCUGCUCAGGCCCGCUACUUCGUUGCCCCCUCUGUGCCACCACCUCCAAGGCGCACAUCCUCGCCACUCUGCAACCAGUAACACAUUGUCGCACCAACCACAGACUAGGGGAGCCAUCAUUGGCCGCCAAGUCACCGUCAGAGCGAGCUGAAUGGUGCGGCCAGAUCAAGCCCCCGAGCCCACGCACAAGAAGCCACCACUGCCUGCAGCUCCACCACUGCACUCUAUGUCGUCGAUCACUCCAAUCAACAGUAUAGGGAAUGUAUCCUGCCGCCACCGGCUCCGCGCGAGCUUUGACCGGUAGAUUUGCCAGUGACGGAAAAACGGUAGUUGAUGGAUCGUGUGUCGUCCCCACCUGUGUUCGCUCUUUGAAGGGAGCGACGUGGGAGGGGGUUAAUUAUUGAUUUUGUACAAAAGUCCAACGGGGAAGAACCCUGUGACAUUUUAAUUAAUGUACUGUAGGAGGUGUGGGACACAGAACAAACCAAGUUGCGGCUUUCGAAGUUCGAACCAGGCCUGCCGAGAAACACCACUAUGCUCGAGGGUGUCUCUCUUCGAUUUAUCGGAUUCUAGAAACAAAGGGACAUAAAAUGUGUGUCAUCAUUGCAAUCUGACGCUAGUCUGGAUUCUUUGUAGAAUGUGCACAAAGUUUGUUUUUUGUUGUUGUUUUUUUGCUGGGUGCACAAAGUUCGUUUGAUUGUGCAUACAGAAAUCCAAUUAAAAUUUUCUAAGAAAAAUUUCUAUAGAAUACAUUUCUACAAAUCAAACAACCCAUAUAGAAGAAACCGCCAUGCGUGUAUGUUAUCUCUUGAUGUGGUUAGGUUGUCUGUUCCCAGCUACGUGUAUACAUACUGCAAAUCGAGAAGACUCCUAACCCUAGCCGCCGCCACAGCUUCUCUACACGUUGUCACCUUGGUCUCCUCUUCCCCGUCCGGCGGUCUUGUCGGCGGCAAGAGGUGGACGCGUUCGUCUUGUUUUCUUUUCAUUGGGUUUUUGCUUCUCUAGGGACAUCGAAGAGGUGGUGAUGGUGAUGACGUGUUGGAAUAAAGUCUCUCCGAUCUCUCCCGCGACAACGCCCAUCCGACGCUAACAAAGGGUCUAUAAGAGUGUGUCCCAGAUCUGUUGACGUAUCCUUGAAAAAAUUCUGCGUUCAGUUGUCUAUUCUUUUUACUGGCUUUUGCUUUCCUUCAUAGUAAUCAGAUCUAAGAUGCCCUUUGAUGUUCUUUUAUUAUGUAAAAGGAAAAAAAAUAAAGCUCUUGUACCUACAUGGUUCACACGACCUCCGUUGCUACGACAAAUUAACAUCAAAUCAAAGUGUCAACCGCAACAGUACUAGCCUGUGAAAAUCGCACAGCUGUUGGGAGCAACUCGUUUAGUUUUGGUGGCGCCGUUUCGUUGCCGUAAAAAGGCAAGCAAAUUAAGCGGCCUUCAGAAACCUAAAAGGCUAAGCCCCAAACAUAUAGCUUACCUUCGUUUUCCUUGAAAAGGUUGGUUAACAAGGUUGUUAAACAUAUUAUAACACUUGUGUCAGCUUUCAUGACGGAGCAACACGUAGACACACCAGUUAAGGAUCCAGUUGUACAUAUUACAUGGCAUAGCUGUGCACUUAAUAUGGUUGAUUUGAGGCUGUCAAGGAAUCCUAUUUCGAUUAUUUAACUAGCAGAUGCUAGUUGUCCGGUUGUAACUGCACAGUUCUCGUCUCAUAUGUCACAUUUGUGUGCAGCUUCUUCAACUGCAGUAGGCAAAAAAGAUAAUUAACGUGAAGUCAAUUUAAGGUAUAGGAUUUGUCGACGGAAACUGCAUCUAAAAAGAUAAUUAAUGUGAAGUUAAUUUAAUGUGUAGGCUGCUUGGACCGGUUGAUACUCUCAGUUUGCCACGCCGGCGGCUUCUUAAUGCCACUGAAUUAGAUGUUGUCCAUUGAUGCGGUCAUGACACAUCUUUAUACUUGUAGGUGUAGCGACUUUGUUCGCCUUGAAAGUGACUUUGGCUUGAUUUUUGUACUCCCUCUAUAAACUUUCAUAAGAGUAGUGAUCUAAACGCUCUUAUGAAAGUUUAUAGAGGGAGUAUUUAUUUUGUCAGACUCUAUUGAAUAACUUAAUAAAUAUGGUUUUAUGCAUCAUUUCGAUGCAGAGGAGGCCAACGGUAAGCCUCCUUUAAAAAAAAUAGAANNNNNNNNNNNNNNNNNNNNNNNNNNNNNNNNNNNNNNNNNNNNNNNNNNNNNNNNNNNNNNNNNNNNNNNNNNNNNNNNNNNNNNNNNNNNNNNNNNNNNNNNNNNNNNNNNNNNNNNNNNNNNNNNNNNNNNNNNNNNNNNNNNNNNNNNNNNNNNNNNNNNNNNNNNNNNNNNNNNNNNNNNNNNNNNNNNNNNNNNNNNNNNNNNNNNNNNNNNNNNNNNNNNNNNNNNNNNNNNNNNNNNNNNNNNNNNNNNNNNNNNNNNNNNNNNNNNNNNNNNNNNNNNNNNNNNNNNNNNNNNNNNNNNNNNNNNNNNNNNNNNNNNNNNNNNNNNNNNNNNNNNNNNNNNNNNNNNNNNNNNNNNNNNNNNNNNNNNNNNNNNNNNNNNNNNNNNNNNNNNNNNNNNNNNNNNNNNNNNNNNNNNNNNNNNNNNNNNNNNNNNNNNNNNNNNNNNNNNNNNNNNNNNNNNNNNNNNNNNNNNNNNNNNNNNNNNNNNNNNNNNNNNNNNNNNNNNNNNNNNNNAAAAUGAAGUCAUCUUUUUUUGCCUACUACAUGCAUGCAGCAAGAAAAUGUAAGAAGUAAGAUGAUGCUUACUUUUUGAAAAUAAGGCAAGCCCCCGGUCAAUGUACACAGCCAUAAAAAAAUGAAGGAUGUGUUUUGAAUAAGCUCAGUUGCUUCACCAACUUGGGAAGACAACUAAUCCCUCUGUUUGGAAAUUCUUGUCAAAGAAAUUGAUACAUUCAUUUUUAUUCAUUUCUCCGAGAAGAAUUUUCGAACAGAGGGAGCAUAUAUGUUCCCUGGCUGAGUAUAAUGCUACAAUAUGUAUAGACAUAUCCUCAGGACUGAAACCAACCAAGCAAAUAUCCUAACUUGUCGACGAAAAAAGCUCAAGAAUGACAAGAAACCUUUGCCCCGAUAUAAACGAACAAUAUGGGGAAAGUGUCGCAAUUGAGACCAGAAAAGGAUGCUUCCUUAGCUGUUACUUCUGCUAUAGAUCUCCGACUAGUCUCUGAUGCGGUUAUUCUCAUAGUUUUUAUGGAAUCAAAUCAGGCAUCAUACUGGACGGUCACUAGUCGAGCAUCUGGUGCUUACCAAUCUCAGCGAAACACUGCAAGCACAAGUCCUGAUUUCGUGUGCUGGUGUGAUGAAAUGUACAGUAGCUUUCAUCGUAUGCGUACUUACAUGUGUUCGACUCAAACACCUAAUGCUCCGCUAAUACCAAGUCCAACUAUAACCCUGUUACACAGACGCCAAUUUUCCUUUUUCUUUCCCAUGAAAAGCGAUUGCUUCCCGUCUCUCACCUGUGGAAGAACUUGUGCCAAGGAAAGAUUUCUCGGACUCUUUUUCCAAAGAAAAUAAAAAAGGCAACACAGAACAAAGCGAGCGGUAGCCCUGAAUCCCUGAUGUACAUGUGUGUGUUGAGAUGUAGCUCUCAACUCGUUUUCAGCAAAUAUGCCCUUACUCGCUCGUGACAUGCUUCACAUGGGGCAUAAGAGAAUAGUGUAACAAUUUGUUGCUCAAGAACACUCCUGAAUAGACCUUUUGGUCUUUAUAUUCCUCAGGCCAAAUUCAGAGCAACAGGUGCCAUGACCUCGGCCAACCACUUGUUCCAUGCAGAUUUGCAGCAGCACAGGUGACAUUGUGGUCAAUUCUAAUCUGAAAAAGAUAAGCUUCUUUUUCUCCUGCAGUGAUUUCUCAGUGAGUGAGCCUUGCUUUUUGUAGCAGGGCACUCAACACCUGUGCAGGAGGAAGGGUCUGCGUUGCCAUAUACGGGAAGUGAUCUGGCUUUAAUCUGUGAAGUUGUCUGGCGCAUGAUCUGUUAGUUAAGAUAGGGUUUGGACUUUGGACACGUCGAGAUGUGUGACAAUUAGCCCAUUAUUUAAACCUAUCUUUGCACUGUGUCAUGGAGUUUUUCUUUUCUUUCAGUGGCCAACUUAGACUUGUCUCCCUCGCCUUUCUCGGCUUAGCUGAAUGGCCUGUAUUUCAGAAUGUGAUGCUCACCAAUCUGAAGGAAAUACUGCACUUCCAAGCGUACAAAAUUUCCUUUUCAUCUUUCCUCUGAAAAACCGCCGUGGCUUCAUGUCUCUCAGUAGCUCUUGGUAAAGCUUGUGCCAGAAACAAGCUCCCAGAUUCUUAUCAACAGGAUUACAGAACAAGGUGAGUCACAGCCAUGAUGUCUAGUAGGUGCUUAUGAAAUGCAGCUUUCAAACUAGUAUUCUUCACAUAGCAUAACGGAUAGUCUAUUAUAUAGUCUGAUAUUGGUCAGGAAAGCUCCUGAAUUGACUUUUUAAUCUUAUACUUACUGCUCAGGCCAAAUUCAGAGUGCCAAAUGCAAUGCUCCUGCCCAACCACUUGCCGCUUGCAGAUUGCACCGGCGAUGCUGUGGUCAGCUUUUUUUAGAGACACGGAAAACAAGCUGCAUAGAUGCACAUACACGCAUGCCUCCACGCGCACGUAACAUCAAGUUGCGGAGCUUAAAAAUGGUCGAAGUCACCAGAGACGCCUCGCUAUGUCAACGGAUACGUCAUCCCCGGCGAAAUCAGGAAUUUGCCCUGGUGAGACAAGCGUGACACCAAUUGGUUUGAUUCUGUCCAGGCAGUGUCCUGGUUUCUACCUCUCUGCUUUUCUUGCCAUGGUUUCUUACCGAUUAGGCAUGCUGAUCUGAUAGGGCACCGGAGGAAGCAUUGCUCGGCACGUAUGCAGGAGGAAAUGUUGUCAUAUACAGGAGGCGAUCUGACUUUGUGAAGUUGUGUGAUGCAUGAUCAGAUAAGAGCUCAGACAUCGUGAGAUGUGUGACAGUUAUCUCAUUACUUAAGUCUAUCCUUGCACUGUGCUCUUAUUUUCUUAGAGCAACUAGCAGAUUCCCUAAAACCUGCCUCCCUUAAAAAACUGCCAUUACAAAGAAAAUUGGGUUAAAUCCACGCGUGCACUCUAAAAACAGUCCUACAGGCUUUGCAUUUAGAUGUGUAUGUACAAUGUGUUUAUGGUGUGUUAAGCAUGCUUUCCCAAAAGCAAUCAUGGUGGCAUUUUAGAAAAAAAAAAGAGAAUAAUAGAAUCAAGUCUAUGAACAGGCAACAACACUCCUUCAGAAAUUAGACAGGAGCACCUGCACUCUGUUCGCGGUAUUCGUAGUUGAUUAUAGGAGUUUAAGUGCUUGUCCACAACGGUAUGGUUCAUUGCUUCCAGUCACAGGGGAAAUAGAAGAGAUAAAACUAUAAGAGCAAUGCUACACCUAGGUAAAGUUAUGUACAGAUUUUACGUAAGAGUCAACGUGUAGGAGUGGGAUUGGAUGGAAGGGUGUGGGAGGGGCCCACACGGGUGAAAAUCAGGGGGGGCAUAGAAUUUGUUAGGCAGGUUACGUAGCUCUUCGUGCGUUGCUUUCGUAGGUGUAGGAUUAUUGAAACUAUAAAGGCUACAGUUUUAGGAAUUUGACUUUGCACACCUUCUCUGCAGCCUUUGAAAAAAAAUAAAGGCCGUUGUAAAGGAGAUUUAAAGGUGGGCCGGGUCCAACGUGGUGGGCUGUCCGGACACCCUCAUUGCCUCCCCACAUAUGGGCUAGAUUUGGGGUUCACGAACAGCCCGGACAUAUGGGGACGAUUUGAAGGGUCCGAAUGGAGAUGCUUCUCUCUCUCUCUCUCAUAUGUCCGGGCACUGUCCGGGCUGUCCGCCUGGACAUAUGUAGGAACGGUAUGGAUCGUCCGGUUGGAGAUGCUCAACCUUCAGAAAUUAGAUGGCAGAGUUUCCGGCCGUCGGCCUGUGUCCUGUGCAGGUUUGAUCACUUAUCACUACUGCCCGCCUCGUGCCCUUGCUCUAUACAGGCUUUCACUUAGUUUUCUCCUCAGAUUGCACUUGUUCCAUGGUAGCGAAUCUGUCGUCCUCGGCUCCUCGCUCUCCUAGAUAGCCAACCGUUGUUCUGUCUUCCUUAUGAAACAGAAGAUAACCGGUAGUCCGGCGGUACCUUGCUCUGUUUAUUUCCAGCCGUCAGGUAGUUAGGGUGUCCUAAGUCCUGAUAAUGUUUAGCUGAACCAUUUUUAAAUGCAGAAGGGUAGUGCGACAGGGUGAUCCUCUCUCCCCAUUAGUUUUUGUCAUUGCCUCAGAUUUCCUACAACCUUUGGUCAAUAAUGAAAUGCAGACUGCCCAAUUGGAAAAACCUCUGAUCGGAAGAUCAUGCCCUGCUUCCCUGUUAUCCAAUAUGUUGAUGACACCCUUGUCGUCAUGAAAGCCUUCGACAGACUGUUAUCCAUCCUAAAGGAUUUACUAGACUCAUAUGCUGCUGCCCUCCAGGUUAACUUCCAUGAAUCAUUUUUGGUGCCCAUCAAUGUUAGCAAUGAGCGGAUCCAGAUCUUCACUGAUACCUUGCAUUGUCAGCUAGUUGUUUCCCCUUUACAUUCCAUGGAUUACCCCUUAGUCUGGCAAACCAAGAAUGGGGCACUUUUUGCCAUUGAUUGAGAUAGGCCAACAGAGAUUAAGUGUAUGUGCUGAUUUCUGGGAUAUGAGGGCAGAUUACAAAUGGCUAAUGAUAUCCUCUCAUCUUUGACAACUUUUGUCAUGAGUUGCAUCAAACUUUACAAAAGAACUUCGGAUGAAUAUGACAAAUAUAGAAGGCACUGGUUCCGGUGGAGGAAGGGUCUGGAAAAGAAAAACCCACCCUUGGCUGCUUGGGAGCUAGUGUGUACACCAAAAGAUCAAGGGAGGUUAGGUAUUUGGAAUCUGCAGACUCAAAAUGAUGCUAUGUUGAUGAAAAACAUAUAUAAGUUCCUUAAUAGGUAGGAUAUCCCAUGGGUGAAGUUAGUUUGGGAAUCUUACUGUCAACCUGGUCAUCCACCAGCUCAAACUGCUGAUUGCCCCUUUUGGUGGAGAGUUUGUCUUAAGCUUCUGCCCAAAUUCAAGGAACUUGCUAUUUGCGAGGCUCAUGAUGGAAAUACAGUACGUACUCUUUUGGAAAAACAAAUGGCAAAGGAAUACACUGCAAGCAACCUGGCCUUAUUUGUUCUCCUUUGCCCUUAAGGAAAACUCCUCAGUCCAGCAAAUUAUGCAGCAAGAUUUGACCCCUGAUCUGUUCCAUUUACCUUUAUCUCAGGAAGCUUUCCAGGAAUUCGCUUUCCUGGAACAGCUGAAGGAAGGGUCACAGAGGACCCUGAUAUCUGAAGGCUCUGGAAUUCUUGCUGUCAAAAGAAACACAAGGUCUUUUUUCGGUUGCUCAUCAACAACAGAUUUAACACAAGGGAGAUGGUAUUACAUAGGAAAAUCUUCUUCUUGCCUGAUUACUCUUGUGUGCUUUGUGGAAGUUUUGCUACUUAGACUAGUGACCAUCCAUUUUUCCAGUGUCCUUUUGCAGUUGCUUGUUGGAAAUACUUAUGCCCAGAUUGGAACCAAAUUCAAGGCCCUGUUCAGGAUCAGAUUCACACUUUGAGAACAUCUCUGCACCUUCCAUUUGCAAUGGAACUAAUAGUGCUUGCUUCCUGGGCUAUUUUACUGUGCUUUUUAUGAAAAUUUGUAAACAUACAGUAGGGAGAAAUCCCUUCUGGUUCCCUAAAAAAAAACUGUUUGGCUGAACCUAGGUUUCUUGCCGCCAGACAUCUGUUCAAACGAAAACAAAAGGUUAUUCACAAGGUGUUCAGGAAAAAAAGCUGCCUAGAUCAUCCUACCCAGUAAAGCUUCCGAGUGUGUGCAACCAUAUAUACACACUGCGUUCCAAGAUUGUCAAACCAUCAUGGACAUAAAGUGAUCAAGCUCAGCGCCACCGCCACCACCAGCAGCGGCGACAUAUUGCGGAGGUGUUUUUUGACAUGAGGGUUUUUUUCUUAGUAAAAGGGUUUGCUCCAGUCUCCAUUAUCAGCAAAAGAGACGGGCGCCAAUGGCUACCCAGACGCUUCAGCACAAGCCCUUCAAAGACACGCCAAUGAAGAGUCAUAACCAGGCACUGUACACGAGCAGCACCGCCAAGUUUCGGCAUACAGCAAGCACAAACAACAGGGCACACCUACAGCAGAUUCUUCCGAUGCUCGUGCUUCAGUCAGGAGAUGUUUUUAAUUUUCAGUCAAGCGCAAACGACCAAGACAACAGCGAAUUCAGUUGUUGAUCGCUCAAAUGGAAAGAAAAGCACAACAGGAACAGGGUAGAAGCAAUAACAAUGGCGAUCAAAAGUUGAAACGACUAAUGCCCGGCAAAGAUUGUCUGCGCCAUGAAUCUGCAUACAACUCAAGUCAAUCCUUUUGCAAAGACUGAUCGAUGCCCUAAUGAUAGUCGGUAUACGUUUCAAAAUUCGAGUAGGCAAGUCAAAAAAAAAUACACUACAUAGUUCCAAUCUAUAUAAUCCGUAGGUUGAUCCUUUAAGUUCAAACUUCUGAGCAUCUAAAAUUGUAAGUAGAGGAACUCUGGAUUUCGAAAAUAAAUUAUGAGGUUCAGAUUUUGGAAUCUGUUUCAUGAAAUUUAUCAUCUCCCAUAAUUCAAAACUUUGCGUGUGAUCAGGACAUGGUGGCUCUGUUUUUGAGUCGCCGACUAAUCGCCGAUUAGUCGCCGACUAAUCGCCAAGUCGUCGCGGCAUGGCUGGCUCGCGCAGGCGACUUGACUCAGGGAGCAAGUCGCGCGACUCGCGUGGCUCGCCGGCGACUUGGGGCGAUUAGUCGCACGACUCGCUGGCUCGCGUGGCUUGCUGCUGCUGUAUAUGUGAUCAUGUGGGGGCUGGGGAAGGAGGAGGACCGAAGGAAAGAGAGCGCAGGGUGGGCUCUAUAUGUGCUCUGCUUAGAUGUAGUAUAUGAAAGAGAGUGCAGGGUGGGCUCUAUAUGUGCUCUGCUUAGAUGUAGUAUAUUUUCUCUGUUGUAUAUGUGCUCUUCUGCUGCUGUAAGUCUAUGUGCUCUGCUGCUCUAUGUACUGUUGUGCCAUGGCGACUUGGGGCGACUAAUCAAGCCAAGUCGCUGACUCAAGCCAGCAAGUCACUAGCCGCAGCCUCGGCGACUUGGCUUGACUCAGCGACUCAAAAACCUUGCAUGGUGGCAGCAGCAAUGGAAGAUGUCAGAGAAGGUAAAGGAUGGAGUAAGAAGGAAGGUCGAGGGAGAAGAUAUCAGCAUUUUGCCAUGGAAUAUUCAUAAUGGCAUCUACUCCCUCCGUUCCAAAUUACUUGUCGUGGUUUUAGUUCAAACAAGUAAUUUGGAACGGAGGGAGUAAAUGAUUUCUCACGUUUUAGAAUGGAGCCCACCCUUCUAAGUUUAGUCAUCUAAAUCAAUGGCUUGAUUUUAUUUAUACAAUCAACGUCCACGGGUAGUAAAAUGUACCACAAAAGGCAUGGGAUUUUGACGAUCAAUGGAGCUGAAGUGGCAUUUAUCCAAUUAACUCUUUUGAACACAUGAUUUUUUAUCUUCUGUAACCAGCAAUGUUGGUACUAACUCCUACCUAACUGUGGUAUGCAACAGGAGGCCUUCCCGUUUUACUUUUCGUUUGGAGGAGUAUAUUCAGUUAAAGUCAGAACAUAUCAGCAGUGGCUUGUUUUGUUUAUCGGUUGCAUCGCGUGACCAACAAAACAACAACAUAUUGUGUGCUGUUGAACAAUUAUACGUGAUAUCCCAGUUGUCUGAUGUGGAAUCAGUCUAUUAUACCUGCGGCAACAGGGUAAACAUAGAUUGCACACAGCAGUAAACUGAAACUUUUGAACACAAUGUAACCUCCUGAUGAAUUGACUGACACCAACUUGAUUUAUUCAAAUAUAAGAAGAGCACUAUAACAUCGUGAAUUUGUGAUGUACUGAUGUUUAAAGUACAAUGAACAACCACUCUGUAUCUUACACCGAACCAGCAACACUCACAAUCUGAAACCCGGGCAUUUUCACUUGCAGGUACACAUGACAUACCUGCAGAGCAUUCCACCUCCCCAGCAACUUGUACUCAGCGCC